UCUAGGGUAGUAUAUAAAGUACUAAAAAUUGCAAAUUUUUAAGUGGAAUCUCCUCCUAGUU
rnacentral:tRNA from 1 species